rnacentral:lncRNA from 1 species
UGCCAGAUGAAAUUUCAGAAUAUCCCUAGACGGGAGCUUCAAUUUCCCCUAGAAAUCCCUAAAUCGUAUUAAUUUGACCUAAAAAAGAAGAAAUUGACAGAUGACAGCUGUCAAUUUAAUUUAUAACCUAUUAAACACUAUGUUUAAUCCACUUUAAUCAUUGAUUAGGUAAUGUUUUAAUGUUUACUUAGGAAUAUUUAUGUCAGGGAACAAUAAAUAAUGACAAUAUUAAUAAUAUUUUAACAAAAAGAUAUUUAAUAACAACAAAAAAUGGCGCCAGCACAGUUUAAUAAAUCCCUAGAUUUCAAAAAAAAUCCCUCCAGAGCUCCAAAAGCUUCAAAAAAUCCCUAGAUUCGGGGAAAAUCCCUAGACAUGGUAACCCUGUACUAGAGUCUGUAGCACCCAACAAAAAGAAUUUCGCAAGGCUAUGAUUGGCUACAAAAUCCCGGCUUGCGAUUGGUUAGAAAGCUGAGUGUGAUCAUAACAUAAUAAAACCUAAAAUUUAAAUUUUAGUUGACAGUUGUUUGUUGUUUUAAUGUCUGUGCAAUAUCCAAUAAAAAUAAACAAAAUAUAGAACAAUAGUAAUAAUAAUUAUAUAAUGAUUUCCUAAAGAAAUAUAUGCUUUAGAAAGAUGUAUUAUAACAUUAUAACCACAGCACACAAACAGUAAUUACUAACACAGAAUGAAAUGAUGUCUGAACCUAGCAUGGAUAAUUGAAAAGCACAAAUAAUCCCAACAUAGAUUAUUAAGGAAGCCGACCCGCAUAGGGAUAAGGCAAAGAGAAUGAUGAAUGAUGAAUUUGAUAAAUUUUUUAACUGCAGAUCAUACAGUUCUCUAUGCAGAUGAUUCAACAAUUAUUGUAGUUGACUCGUCAACUGAAGUCGGAACUCAUAUCCAAAAUGAACUUGGUAGCACAGGAAUUUACAACCUGGUGUAAAAUGAACUCUUUAAUGGUAUAUGCAAAGAAAACUAUUUGUAUGCAGUGCUACUCGUGCAGUUAGCCAUCCCAUGAUUAUAAGAUCACAGUUAGUUCUGAGGAAAUACCUUUUAGUGAUACAUUAUUUCUUGGUAGCAUUCUAGAAAGUAAUAUGACAAGGGAUGAAAACGUUACUAAAGUCUGCAAAAAAAUGAAUAAGGGUUAGUAUGCGAUCCUUCAGUUGAAAACUAUUUAAUACCAAUCAAUUGAUAAGUGUGUACUAUGCAUUGGUUUACUCAUAUAAUAUAUGAGUCAUAUAGCCUAUAAUGUUGUCUUGUAGGGAAACUCUUCUAGAGUUUUUGUAACUAAAAAGAGAAUUAUUAGAUUGAUAUUUAAUAUCUAUCGAUAAUAGACAAUCAUGUCAUAAAUAUUUUAUGGAUCACAGACUGACUUUCCAUGCUUUAUACAUUUAUAAGUGCAUUAUUCAUGUUAAAACUAUAUUUCAAAAUUUUACUCUCAACUCUGACUAUCAUGAUUACCCGACAAGGCACGGGAGGAUGAUAAGCGUAUGUAAACAUUCCACAACUCUUUUUGAAACUAGUCCUGAUUUUACAGGAUCUAAAUUUUACAAUUGUUUGCCACUUGAUAUGAGAAAUGAAAAUAAUAUUCAAAAAUAAAUUAAAAUCAUGCUUGAUAGAAUUAUGUGUUUACAACCUAAAUGAUUACUUUGACUUAAUAAAAGACUACAAGGAAUGAGGACCGACGGGUUCAGAGACACUCUAUAUUGCAUAUCUUUUUUUAUUAAUUUAUAGUUUGUUGAUUAUGUUUUAUAUAACUGUCCUGUAUGACUUGUUGAUUAUGUUCUAUGUAACUACAUAUAUGGCUUGUCCUAUACUGCUGUGCUUAGAGAAAACACUAUCUGCAAAAAUUAAAUUUUUACUUCUUUCUAACCCAAAUGUGCAUAUAUGUCUUAUUUGCUUACUAAAAAUGACGUAAGUUAAACCAAAACACAUUAAACACACCGCAUCUUAUGCCGUAUCUUGUGUAAAUGUAUACGAAUACUUUAACAAAAAUCGAUUUUACUCAUAUGUGAUGUCUCUGCAGAUACAGUGUUUUCGCUAAGCACGGCAGUAUAUCACACUAUCAUCUAAAUGAAUUAAUAAAGAUAUUCUAUUCUAUAAACAGUGUUACAUUUGCUUUUGUUCAUUGUAACACAAAUUAAUUAUGUGGGAACCAAUCUUUAGUUUUCGUAAACAAAUCUUUAAAAUUUUCUAUUGCUUUCUAGUUACGUUUCUUUAUGAGUGUUUCCAUGUUUUCUGUAGGUAUCUGGUCUUAUAGCAUCUUCAAAGUAUUUUAAUUGUUGGACCUGGUGGUUUGUUAAAUUUGAGUUUGAUCACCAGUCUGACUUAAUUUUCAAGUAUAUCAGGUUUUUUUUCUGUUUUGUUAGGGGUUUAGUGAACGAGUUCCUAGAGUUGAUCAUCUUUAUAUAGAUCCCUGCUUCUCUAUUUGUUCUCAGUAUUCCUGUGUAUUCUCCAAUAGAUAUGCUCUUUCAUUCUCUACUCAUUCUAUAUAAUAUUUCAAAAUAUACUUGAGAUGUACUUUUUGUAAAUUUUGUAAAAUAAAAUAAAUUUGUUUUUAGAUAA